rnacentral:rRNA from 1 species
CCUACGGGAGGCAGCAGUAAGGAAUAUUGGUCAAUGGACGAAAGUCUGAACCAGCCAUGCCGCGUGAAGGAUUAAGGCCCUCUGGGUUGUAAACUUCUUUUAUCUGGGACGAAAAAAGGGUAUUCUUACUCACUUGACGGUACCAGAGGAAUAAGCACCGGCUAACUCCGUGCCAGCAGCCGCGGUAAUACGGAGGGUGCAAGCGUUAUCCGGAUUUACUGGGUUUAAAGGGUGCGUAGGUGGGCUUGUAAGUCAGUGGUGAAAUCUCCGGGGCUUAACCCGGAAACUGCCAUUGAUACUAUAGGUCUUGAAUUAUCUGGAGGUAAGCGGAAUAUGUCAUGUAGCGGUGAAAUGCUUAGAUAUGACAUAGAACACCAAUUGCGAAGGCAGCUUACUACGGAUAUAUUGACACUGAGGCACGAAAGCGUGGGGAUCAAACAGGAUUAGAUACCCUGGUAGUCCACGCCUAAACGAUGGAUACUCGACAUCAGCGAUACACUGUUGGUGUCUGAGNGAAGANAUAGUAUACCACCGUGGAGUACGAGCGCGAAGUAGUAGUUAACGUUACGUAAAUUAGUUAAGUUAGUUACGGCGUUGAGACGUUACGCCGACGGACGACGACGAGGGAGGAGGAG